rnacentral:rRNA from 1 species
UACAGAGGGUGCGAGCGUUAAUCGGAAUUACUGGGCGUAAAGCGUGCGUAGACGGUAGCGUAAGUCAGAUGUGAAAGCCCCGGGCUCAACCUGGGAAUUGCAUUUGAGACUGCUCUGCUCGGGUGCGGAAGAGGGAAGCGGAAUUUCCGGUGUAGCGGUGAAAUGCGUAGAUAUCGGAAGGAACACCUGUGGCGAAAGCGGCUCACUGGACCAUAACUGACGCUGAUGCACGAAAGCUAGGGGAGCAAACAGG